UAGGAAUCUGCUGGUAGUGGGGGACAACGUUUCGAAAGGAACGCUAAUACCGCAUACGUCCUACGGGAGAAAGCAGGGGACCUUCGGGCCUUGCGCUAUCAGAUGAGCCUAGGUCGGAUUAGCUAGUUGGUGGGGUAAUGGCUCACCAAGGCGACGAUCCGUAACUGGUCUGAGAGGAUGAUCAGUCACACUGGAACUGAGACACGGUCCAGACUCCUACGGGAGGCAGCAGUGGGGAAUAUUGGACAAUGGGCGAAAGCCUGAUCCAGCCAUGCCGCGUGUGUGAAGAAGGUCUUCGGAUUGUAAAGCACUUUAAGUUGGGAGGAAGGGCAGUAAGCUAAUACCUUGCUGUUUUGACGUUACCGACAGAAUAAGCACCGGCUAACUCUGUGCCAGCAGCCGCGGUAAUACAGAGGGUGCAAGCGUUAAUCGGAAUUACUGGGCGUAAAGCGCGCGUAGGUGGUUUGUUAAGUUGGAUGUGAAAGCCCCGGGCUCAACCUGGGAACUGCAUCCAAAACUGGCAAGCUAGAGUACGGUAGAGGGUGGUGGAAUUUCCUGUGUAGCGGUGAAAUGCGUAGAUAUAGGAAGGAACACCAGUGGCGAAGGCGACCACCUGGACUGAUACUGACA
rnacentral:rRNA from 1 species